CGCCCAGCGCCCGCCCCUCAGGGGGCCGCACGGGCCGGGGGUUGCGCGCUCUGCAGGAGACGCACUGGCGAGAGGGCCUCGAGGCGGGAAGGCUGCAAGAUCUGGAGCAGACCGCAACCCGUAGGGCUCGCAGAGUCGCAGACUCUGGCGGGAUCUUGAGCGCGCCAAUCCGGGUCAUUGCCCUGCACAGCGGGAGAAGUCACCGCAUUGAAGUUCCCUAGGCGCUGGAUGAACGAAGAUCUGGUUGAGAGCUUGAACACCCCUGGAGCAGAUGACUAAGAAAACGCUGGCCCAGUGAAGCUUCCCUGCUGAGCCCUAAGCCCUGAAAGCCUCCCGCAGUUUACCCUGACCCCGUGCCUGCUCUGUGCGUUUUCCGAUUUCUUGUUGGUUGAAUACCUCCCUCUCCACUCCCAACUUCAGGAUAAAGAAAACUGAGGAGCUACAGCUAUUAUGCAGCAGAGCCACAUUUAAGCCCUGAGCUGUCUGACUCCAAAGGCUGUGGCAAUAAGAAGUCCUCUGAGAAAUGGGUGGGCAGGGCUCUGUCACCAGGCUGGAGUGCACUGGCGCGAUCUUGGCUCACUGCAACCUCCGCCUCCCGGGUACAAGUGAUUCUCCUGCCUCAGCCUCCCAAGUAGCUGAGACUACAGCUGUGUGCCACCUAAUUUUUGUAUUUUUAGUAGGGACAGGGUUUCACCAUGUUGGCCAGGAUGAUCUCAAUCUCUUGACCUUGUGAUCUGCCCACCUUGGCCUCCCAAAGUGCUGGGAUUACAGGUGUGAGCCACCACGCCCAGCCUAUAAUAUGUUGUUCUUUUCUGAGUUUGAGUCCAGAUUACUUUCUCCCAGCUGGAAAGGCAUCAGAGCCAACGUGUAGUACACCUUUGCUUUUUAGCUGCUUAUCCAACAUUCCUUCACUUUCACAAACUCAUAUAUUCAGCAUGUGUAUUUGUCAGAUAAUUAUAUUACCAUUUAAAAGCAAGGCUAUACAGUUUUUAUAAAACAUUAAAACACAAGAAACUGG